CUACGGGAUGCAGCAGGCGCGAAACCUUUACAAUGCACGCAAGUGUGAUAAGGGGAUCCUCCGUGCUCAUGCAUAGCAUGGGCUUUUGCCAAGUGUAAAUAGCUUGGCGAAUAAGUGGUGGGUAAGACUGGUGCCAGCCGCCGCGGUAACACCAGCGCCACGAGUGGUGACCACGUUUAUUGGGCCUAAAGCGUCCGUAGCCGGCUUAGUAAGUCUUUUGUGAAAUUGUUGGGCUUAACCCAACAGCGUGCAAGAGAUACUGCUAGGCUUGAGACCGGGAGGAGUCAGAAGUAUUCCAGGGGGAGCGGUAAAAUGUUAUAAUCCCUGGAGGACUACCUGUGGCGAAGGCGUCUGACCAGAACGGAUCUGACGGUGAGGGACGAAAGCCAGGGGAGCGAACCGGAUUAGAUACCCUAGUAGUC
rnacentral:rRNA from 1 species